rnacentral:lncRNA from 1 species
GAGAAGUUAUUUUCUUCCUAGUUUCUUAUUGCUCUACUGGCUGCUUUAAUUCCUGGCAGCGUUGCAUUAAUGUUAAACACUGGUCCCAAGCACCGAGUGGCAAUUUAUCAUCUUUCUUGGCAGGCUUCCUGCUUCAUCGUGCACCUGCCUCCUUGAAAGAAAACAAGACAUCAGAUACUUAUUCAAAUAAUGCAAUAGCUGAUCAGCAGAGUAUCUACACAAUGUGAAGUACC